GACGAACGCUGGCGGCGUGCUUAACACAUGCAAGUCGAACGGAAAGGCCCUGCUUUUGUGGGGUGCUCGAGUGGCGAACGGGUGAGUCACACGUGAGUAACCUGCCCUUGACUUUGGGAUAACUUCAGGAAACUGGGGCUAAUACCGGCUAGGAGCUCCUGCUGCAUGGUGGGGGUUGGAAAGUUUCGGCGGUUGGGGAUGGACUCGCGGCUUAUCAGCUUGUUGGUGGGGUAGUGGCUUACCAAGGCUUUGACGGGUAGCCGGCCUGAGAGGGUGACCGGCCACAUUGGGACUGAGAUACGGCCCAGACUCCUACGGGAGGCAGCAGUGGGGAAUAUUGCACAAUGGGCGGAAGCCUGAUGCAGCAACGCCGCGUGCGGGAUGACGGCCUUCGGGUUGUAAACCGCUUUCGCCUGUGACGAAGCGUGAGUGACGGUAAUGGGUAAAGAAGCACCGGCUAACUACGUG
rnacentral:rRNA from 1 species